rnacentral:rRNA from 1 species
GACGAACCGUGCGAACGUUGUUCGGAAUUACUGGGCGUAAAGGGCGCGUAGGCGGCCAUCUAAGUCAGACGUGAAAUCCCCCGGCUCAACCUGGGAACUGCGUCUGAUACUGGGAGGCUAGAGUUUGGGAGAGGGAUGUAGAAUUCCAGGUGUAGCGGUGAAAUGCGUAGAUAUCUGGAGGAAUACCGGUGGCGAAGGCGGCGUCCUGGACCAAUACUGACGCUGAGGCGCGAAAGCUAGGGGAGCAAACGGG